AUUGAACGCUGGCGGCAGGCUUAACACAUGCAAGUCGAGCGGGGUGAUGGUGCUUGCACUAUUACUUAGCGGCGGACGGGUGAGUAAUGCUUAGGAAUCUGCCUACUAGUGGGGGACAACAUCUAGAUAGGGAUGAUAAUACCGCAUACGUCCUACGAGAGAAAGCAGGGGAUCACUUGUGACCUUGAGCUAAGAGAUGAGCCUAAGUCGGAUUAGCCAGUUGGUGGGGUAAAGGCCCACCAAGGCGACGAUCUGUAGCGGGUCUGAGAGGCUGAUCGGCGCCACUGGGAAUGAGAGACGGCCCAGAGUCCUACGGGGGGCAGCAGUGGGGAAUAUUGGACAAUAGGGGGAACCCUGAUCCAGCCAUGCCGCGUGUGUGAAGAAGGCCUUAUGGUUGUAAAGCACUUUAAGCGAGGAGGAGGCUCUUUUGGUUAAUACCCAAGAUGAGUGGACGUUACUCGCAGAAUAAGCACCGGCUAACUCUGUGCCAGCCGCCGCGGUAA
rnacentral:rRNA from 1 species